rnacentral:rRNA from 1 species
UACGUAGGCAGCGAGCGUUGUUCGGAGUUACUGGGCGUAAAGGGUGUGUAGGCGGUGCUCUAAGUUCGGUGUGAAAUCUCCCGGCUCAACUGGGAGGGUGCGCCGGAAACUGGAGUGCUAGAGUGCGGGAGAGGGAAGUGGAAUUCCUGGGGUAGGGGUGAAAUGCGUAGAUAUCAGGAGGACCACCUGUGGUGUAGACGGCUUCCUGGACCGCCACUGACGCUGAGACACGAAAGCGUGGGGAGCAAACAGG